rnacentral:misc_RNA from 1 species
UCGAGCGUCAUUUAAACCUUCAAGCUCUGCUUGGUGUUGGGUGUCUGUCCCGCCUCGGCGCGGACUCGCCUUAAAUUCAUUGGCAGCCGGUAUGUUGGCUUCGUGCGCAGCACAUUGCGUCGCGAUUCUGGCAGGCCUCCUCCCAUUAAGCUUCUUUUAAGUUUGACCUCGGAUCAGGUAGGGAUACCCGCUGAACUUAA